UGCGUAGGCGGACUAAUAAGUCAGUGGUGAAAUCUUUCGGCUCAACCGGGAAACUGCCAUUGAUACUGUUAGUCUUGAGUUCGGUUGAGGUAGGCGGAAUGUGUAAUGUAGCGGUGAAAUGCUUAGAUAUUACACAGAACACCAAUUGCGUAGGCAGCUUACUAGACCGACACUGACGCUGAGGCACGAAAGCGUGGGUAGCGAACAGGAUUAGAUACCCUGGUAGUC
rnacentral:rRNA from 1 species